rnacentral:rRNA from 1 species
UACGUAGGGGGCAAGCGUUGUCCGGAAUCAUUGGGCGUAAAGAGCGUGUAGGCGGCCCGGUAAGUCCGUUGUGAAAGUCGAGGGCUCAACCCUCGAAUGCCGGCGGAUACUGUCGGGCUAGAAUCCGGAAGAGGCGAGUGGAAUUCCUGGUGUAGCGGUGAAAUGUGCAGAUAUCAGGAGGAACACCGAUGGCGAAGGCAGCUCGCUGGGACGGUAUUGACGCUGAGGAGCGAAAGCGUGGGGGAGCGAACAGGA